UUUAAUGUAUACGGUGGAUGCCUUGGGUCUUUGUGCCGAUGAAGGACGUGUUAGGCUGCGUAAAGCUUCGGGGAGCUGCCAAGAAGCGCUAUUACCCGGAGAUUUCCGAAUGGGGGAACCCGAUCUACAGAAAUGUAAGGUCACCUGUUACUGAAAGUUUAUGGUUUUACCAUAGACCAUAGGUAUCAUUGGAGGGCACUCGGCGAAUUGAAACAACUUAGUAGCCGGAGGAACAAAAACUAAAUUUAAGUAUUUCCUAAGUAGCGGCGAGCGAAAAGGAAGAAGCCCAAACCCAAGCUUAGGUUAAAAAAGUUAAAAGCAUGAGGGUCUGUGUAACAACAGAUUCUAAGCUUUUAACUUACGAACUUGGGGGUUUUGGACAACCCGCGCCAGACACGCAAGUGGGCUGGAAAAGGUUACAAAUUUUUUCGGUAGAAAAACUUGGAUGAAAAGCCAGGCCAUAGAAGGUUAGAGCCCUGUAUUCGAAACCGAAAAAACCUUUUGGGUUGUUCCCGAGUAGCAUGGGACACGUGUAAUCCUGUGUGAAGAUAGCGGGACCAUCCGCGAAGGCUAAAUACGCAAAGACACCGAUAGUGAAGCAGUACCGUGAGGGAAAGGUGAAAAGAACCCCUGUUAGGGGAGUGAAAUAGAUUCUGAAACCGUAUACAAACAAACAGCCGAAGCCCAACAUUUAGUUGUGGGUGACGGUGUGCCUAUUGAAGAAUGAGCCAGCGAGUUAAUAUUGCGCGCAAGCUUAAGCAUCUCAGAUGUGGAGGCGUAGGGAAACCGAGUCUUAAAAGGGCGACCUAGUACGUAUUAUUAGACCCGAAGCCAGGUGAGCUAACCAUGGGCAGGAUGAAGCUUGGGUAAAACCAAGUGGAGGUCCGAACCGGUGUGUGAGGAAAAACGCUCGGAUGACCUGUGGUUAGGGGUGAAACGCUAAUCGAACCUGGCGAUAGCUGGUUCUCCUCGAAAUAUAUUUAGGUAUAGCCUCAAGAUAAAGCAUGUAAGAGGUAGAGAUACUGAAAUGGAUGUGGGCCCGCAAGGGUACCCAUCUAUACCAAACUCCGAAUGCUUACAUGUGUUCCUUGGGAGUCAGUGCUGGGGAGCAAGUUUCUAGCACGAGAGGGCAACAACCCAGACCAUCGGAUAAGGUCCCUAAUUUAUGCUAAGUGGGUAAGGAAGUGGAAUUGUUAAGACAGCUAGGAGGUUGGCUUAGAAGCAGCCAUCCUUUAAAGAAAGCGUAACAGCUCACUAGUUUAACGAUUCUGCGCCGACAAAUUCAACGGGGCUAAAGCAUAAAACCGAAGCCGUGGACUUUUGCCGGGGAACAUUGGAAGGUAAAGGAAUUUCUAACAAGUAAAGUAUCUUUACGGUUAGUCUUUUUUUGCCUUUCGAAGUUUCCGGCAAAGGUAGUAGAGGAGCUUUGAUGUUGCGGUGAAGGUACACCCGCGAGGGGUGCUGGAGCGGCAUCAAGUGAGAAUGCUGGCAUGAGUAACGAGAGGGUGGUGAAAACCCACCCCGCCGAAAGUCUAAGGUUUCCUCCGCUAUGGCAGUCAUCGGAGGGUUAGUCGAUCCUAAGGCGAGGCCGAAAGGCGUAGUCGAUGGACAGCAGGUUAAUAUUCCUGCACUUUCAGGUAAUCGCUAUCACCAAUGGAGGGACGGAGUUUGACCAUUCAAGCCCAUUAAGGAUUUGGGUCCAAAAAGCAAAGCAGUUCGUGUAGGCAAAUCCGCACGAGCGUUUAUCAGAGCUGAUGGAAAAGAUUUCGCAAGAAGUCUGAUUUGAACUGGUUAAGGUUCCAAGAAAAGCUUCUAGGGAGAUUAUUUGAAAUCCGUACCGCAAACCGACACAGGUGGACAGGUAGAGAAUACCAAGGCGAACGAGAUAACCGUGGCCGAGGAACUAGGCAAAUUACAUCCGUAACCUCGGAAAAAGGAUGCCCUGCCGCAAGGUAGGGGGCACAAAAAUGGCUCAAGCGACUGUUUAACAAAAACACAGGUCUCUGCUUAACCCGUAAGGGGACGUAUAGGGGCCGACGCCUGCCCAGUGCCCGUAAGUUAAAUCUGGAGGUCAGUCCAUCUUGUAUGGACGAAGCUUUCGGUACAAGCUCGGGUGAACGGCAGCAGUAACUAUGAAAAGUCGUAGUUGAGAACAUCCUCUUAAGUAUUAAAACUUUAAGAGUAAUCGAUGUUCCUGCAGAUGCAGAAAAAUGUGGCUAUAUGCUGGAAAAUCCGGAGUAUCCGUCAAUACCUAUAAUAAAUUUAUAGGUGACAAUUUGUACGGUGCGGACAAUCAGCAGGAAAGAUUUAAUCUAACUUAGAUUAAAUAUCCUCAGAGACUAUACGCCACAGUCUUAAAUGACAUGAUAUAGUCCGACCUUUGUGGCGACACAAAGAGCUCUUCAGAAAUGUGAGAGCCCGGUUACGCUGAGAAAGCGUAUAUUGAGUAACAAAUGUGAACUGUUCUAUGGUAAUAGGCGCUGCCAUAGUAAAACUUGGCUGUAUGCUGGAAAAUCCGUCCAUUAAUAGUGGUAUUGUCUAUGCAAAAUAGACGUAAGUAUCUUGUGCUACUAAUUUAUUUAAUAUAUUUAGAUAAGUAGUGAAAAUGCAUCAAGUGCGGACAAUCAGCAGGAAAGAGCAAGUGCACCAAUGUAUAGAUAAAUUGGAAAUAGGUAAUAUAAGCUUUGAUAUAUUGGGUAGCUAUAUUGCGGGAUUUGUAGACGGUGAGGGAAGCUUCAAUGUUUCUUUAAGAAAAUCACCGGAUUACAGACUUGGAUGGCAACCUGUGCUUAGCUUUAAUGUCUCUCAAAAAUACUUAGAUAUUCUUCUUGUUCUAAAGAGCGUAUUUAUGUGUGGGAUAAUCAAACGCAGGAAAUGCGAUGGGUUAUAUUCUUUUGAUAUAACAAAUCCAAAAGAAAUAAUGCUAAAGGUUAUUCCGUUUUUUGAGAAAAAUAGAUUGCUUUCUACAAAUAAAAGAUCAAGUUUUGAACUUUUUAAGAAGAUUGCGAUCCUUAUGGCCAACAAAGAACAUCUAAACGAAAGUGGGUUAU
rnacentral:rRNA from 1 species